rnacentral:rRNA from 1 species
AUUGAACGCUGGCGGCAGGCCUAACACAUGCAAGUCGAACGAGUGGCGGACGGGUGAGUAAUGUCUGGGAAACUGCCCGAUGGAGGGGGAUAACUACUGGAAACGGUAGCUAAUACCGCAUACCAUCGGAUGUGCCCAGAUGGGAUUAGCUAGUAGGUGGGGUAACGGCUCACCUAGGCGACGAUCCCUAGCUGGUCUGAGAGGAUGACCAGCCAAAUGGGAACGGGGACACGGUCCGGAUCCCGACGGGAGGAAGCAGAGGGGAAUAUGGCACAUGGGGCGCAAGCCUGAUGCAGCCAUGCCGCGUGUAGGAAGAGGGCCUUCGGGUGGUAAAGUACUUUCAGCGAGGAGGCGUUACUCGCAGAAGAAGCACCGGCUAACUCCGUGCCAGCAGCCGCGGUAAUUC